rnacentral:rRNA from 1 species
AGCAGCCGCGGUAAUUCCAGCUCCAAUAGCGUAUAUUUAAGUUGUUGCAGUUAAAAAGCUCGUAGUUGGAUUUCGGUUGAGAGCGGCCGGUCCGCCGUUUGGUGUGCACUGGCUGGUUUCAGCUUCCUGCAGAGGACGCGCUCUGGGCUUAAUCGUCUGGACGUGGAGUCUGCGUGGUUACUUUGAAAAAAUUAGAGUGUUCAAAGCGGGCUUACGCUUGAAUAUUUCAGCAUGGAAUAACACUAUAGGACUCCUGUCCUAUUUCGUUGGUCUCGGGACGGGAGUAAUGAUUAAGAGGAACAGUUGGGGGCAUUCGUAUUUCAAUGUCAGAGGUGAAAUUCUUGGAUUUUUGAAAGACGAACUUCUGCGAAAGCAUUUGCCAAGGAUGUUUUCAUUAAUCAAGAACGAAAGUUGGGGGCUCGAAGAUGAUUAGAUACCAUCCUAGUCUCAACCAUAAACGAUGCCGACUAGGGAUUGGCGGAUGUUAAUUGAUGACUCCGCCAGCACCUUAUGAGAAAUCAAAGUUUUUGGGUUCCGGGGGGAGUAUGGUCGCAAGGCUGAAA